AACGAACGCUGGCGGCAGGCUUCAGACAUGCAAGUCGAGGGAUAAGCUAUCUUCGGAUAGUGGACACCGGCGCACGGGUGAGUAACGCGUGGGAAUGUACCCUUAGGUGCGGAACAACGUUUGGAAACGAACGCUAAUACCGCAUAAUGGCUCCGGCCCAAAGCUCCGGCGCCCAAGGAUCAGCCCGCGUUAGAUUAGCUUGUUGGUGAGGUAAGAGCUCACCAAGGCGACGAUCUAUAGCUGGUCUGAGAGGAUGAUCAGCCACACUGGAACUGAGACACGGUCCAG
rnacentral:rRNA from 1 species